rnacentral:lncRNA from 1 species
UAAUUCAGAGCGUUCCUCGCAGUUUCAGUCCCAACGACUUUCUAUUCAUUUCUUCUUUUUGGUUUCAUACAACAGAAGGCCCGUAUACUCACCUUGGUGGGGACUGACUGCUCUCGGCACACUCCGAUACCAUUGAUGUCUAGUAGCUUUGAUAGUAAUGGCUGGAUCUACCUACAACAAUUUUUACAACAUGCCACUAUUUGGUAGCUGCAAACAUAACUUCCAACUAAAGUUAGACAUGAACUGGUAAAAUAAUAGCUUUGAUGAGUUUAGACAUGAUGACGGUCUUCUACCUGCUGCGUAUCAUUCUCAAGAGAUUCUAUGAUGGAAUCAACUUUUGAUGCCAGCCUCAAAAGAGUACAGCCAUCACCAACAAUUCCUUCCUCAACAGCAGCCUAACAGAAAAGCAAAUGACAAUGAAUUAGCAACUGGAUACUAAAAAGUGUAGAUAGUUAAUACAUUGCUACAGCACAUCAGGCCCCAGAAGUUAAUGAACUGCUACGGGAAACAUAGCAAGUAUGGUGGUUGAAGAUGCAAAAGAGCAUUCACCUUUGCUGCAUUCAGAGCAUCUUCAGCCAAGGUUGAAUACGUUCUCCAGCCUAUAUGGCAAAAUUGGGUGACUCCCUUCUAUUUAGUCAAGAGCCACUGGAAAGAACUGACCGACAUACGAGCCAGACUGUCAAGUAGACAUACCUUAAUAAUAGCAACAAAUAAGAGAGCUUAACUAACCUGUCAUUCAAGAGGUUCUGUUUCUCAUACUCUAGCUCCAC